UGUGGAAUAUUGGACAAUGGGGGGAACCCUGAUCCAGCCAUGCCGCGUGUGUGAAGAAGGCCUUAUGGUUGUAAAGCACUUUAAGCGAGGAGGAGGGUACUGGUAUUAAUACUACCAGGUACUGGACGUUACUCGCAGAAUAAGCACCGGCUAACUCUGUGCCAGCAGCCGCGGUAAUACAGAGGGUGCGAGCGUUAAUCGGAUUUACUGGGCGUAAAGCGUGCGUAGGCGGCUAAUUGAGUCGGAUGUGAAAUCCCCGAGCUUAACUUGGGAAGUGCAUUCGAUACUGGUUAGCUAGAGUGUGGGAGAGGAUGGUAGAAUUCCAGGUGUAGCGGUGAAAUGCGUAGAGAUCUGGAGGAAUACCGAUGGCGAAGGCAGCCAUCUGGCCUAACACUGACGCUGAGGUACGAAAGCAUGGGGAGCAAACAGG
rnacentral:rRNA from 1 species